GAUGAACGCUAGCGGCAGGCCUAAUACAUGCAAGUCGAACGGUGUCUUCGGACAUAGUGGCGCACGGGUGCGUAACACGUAUGCAACCUACCUUACAUUGGGGGAUAGCCUUUCGAAAGGGAGAUUAAUACCGCAUAAGACAGUAGCUGGGCAUCCAGCAGCUGUUAAAGAUUUAUCGAUGUAAGCUGGGCAUGCGUCCAAUUAGCUAGUUGGUGAGGUAACGGCUCACCAAGGCAAUGAUUGGUAGGGGAACUGAGAGGUCAAUCCCCCACACUGGCACUGAGAUACGGGCCAGACUCCUACGGGAGGCAGCAGUAGGGAAUAUUGGGCAAUGGACGCAAGUCUGACCCAGCCAUGCCGCGUGCAGGAUGAAGGCGUUAUGCGUUGUAAACUGCUUUUAUACAGGAAGAAACGACUCUUGCGAGAGGCAUUGACGGUACUGUAUGAAUAAGCACCGACUGACUCCGUGCCAGCAGCCGCAGUAACAC
rnacentral:rRNA from 1 species